AUGACCGUAAUAUUACAAAUGAUGUGGUAAAAGUCUUCAUUGGCCCGUAGUGCAUUGAUGGACAGUUGUUGGCAUGAUCAUGACCAUUGAUGAAUACAUGAAUAUCCUUGGCCCAUAGUACAUGGAUUAUUUGUGGUCGUGACCCUAAUGAAUAUCCUUGACCGUAGUGCAGGGAUGAUGUGGAUUAUUUAUUAAGCUAAGUCUCAG
rnacentral:lncRNA from 1 species